GGCCUCCGAAAGGCCCCAGCGCGCCUCCACAGUCCCCCUUGUGCCCGGGGCGGGCCUGGGGAGCACAGCCCACCGGCCUAACCAGGAAGCCGGGACACUGUAGGCGCAGCCGCGCAGGUUCGGCGGGGAAGGAAGCUGGCGGUCACUCGGUCUCCCGCACUGUGGAGUCCUGCCCUUGAGGACACCACCGGCGGCUGAAAGGUGGAGGCCACCCCAGCGUCUCAGAGCUCAGCCCAGAUCCAGUGACGGUUCAAGGAAACAAUGACAAUUUGGCUUCCUGCUCUUACGUUAUAGACUUGACAGAGGUCGAUGUACAUCUCCUGGCGGCAGCAGCGGGGGGCCUCCGACCCAGGCACCUCGGGGUCACAAUCGCCCUGAGCUCUGCGCGGGCAAGGAGAAG